CCUACGGGGGGCAGCAGUGGGGAAUAUUGCACAAUGGGCGCAAGCCUGAUGCAGCCAUGCCGCGUGUGUGAAGAAGGCCUUCGGGUUGUAAAGCACUUUCAGCGGGGAGGAAGGCGGUGAGGUUAAUAACCUCAUCGAUUGACGUUACCCGCAGAAGAAGCACCGGCUAACUCCGUGCCAGCAGCCGCGGUAAUACGGAGGGUGCAAGCGUUAAUCGGAAUUACUGGGCGUAAAGCGCACGCAGGCGGUCUGUCAAGUCGGAUGUGAAAUCCCCGGGCUCAACCUGGGAACUGCAUUCGAAACUGGCAGGCUAGAGUCUUGUAGAGGGGGGUAGAAUUCCAGGUGUAGCGGUGAAAUGCGUAGAGAUCUGGAGGAAUGCCGGUGGCGAAGGCGGCCCCCGGGACAAAGACUGACGCUCAGGUGCGAAAGCGUGGGGAGCAAACAGGAUUAGAGACCCUAUAGUC
rnacentral:rRNA from 1 species